rnacentral:rRNA from 1 species
UACGUAGGGGGCUAGCGUUGUCCGGAAUCAUUGGGCGUAAAGCGCGUGUAGGCGGCCCGGUAAGUCCGCUGUGAAAGUCGGGGGCUCAACCCUCGGAUGCCGGUGGAUACUGUCGGGCUUGAGUACGGAAGAGGCGAGUGGAAUUCCUGGUGUAGCGGUGAAAUGCGCAGAUAUCAAGGAGGAACACCUAUUGCGAAGGCAGCUCGCUGGGACGUGAACUGACGCUGGAGACGCGAAAGCGUGGGGAGCAAACAGG